rnacentral:lncRNA from 1 species
AUGGGCUGGAGUUCCUCCAGCCAUGGAUGUGGAGCUGGUUUCAGUGUCCCAGUCUGUGACUACACCAGAAGGCACGAUGUGUAUCCUUACUCACUGAACUUCAGAACCCGUGAUUUGAGGUCUAAGCUCUGGAGCCUGACAUCUGGACCUACAAACAACCAUUUGCUGUCAUACACAGCAAUUGGAAAUGGAAGGAUGUCCACCUGCUACUGUUUCCAUCUCCUUGAUUUUUCUCACAGCAGGAAAUGGAAUGGGCUCUUGGGCCUGGCAGCAGAUCUGUGA